AGAGUUUGAUCAUGGCUCAGGAUGAACGCUAGCUACAGGCUUAACACAUGCAAGUCGAGGGGAAACGACAUCGAAAGCUUGCUUUUGAUGGGCGUCGACCGGCGCACGGGUGAGUAACGCGUAUCCAACCUGCCCACCACUUGGGGAUAACCUUGCGAAAGUAAGACUAAUACCCAAUGACGUCUCUAGAAGACAUCUGAAAGAGAUUAAAGAUUUAUCGGUGAUGGAUGGGGAUGCGUCUGAUUAGCUUGUUGGCGGGGUAACGGCCACCAAGGCGACGAUCAGUAGGGGUUCUGAGAGGAAGGUCCCCCANAUUGGAACUGAGGGACACGGUCCAAACUCCUACGGGAGGCA
rnacentral:rRNA from 1 species